UAGAAAAAGGCUGCAAUGUCUGUGUCAAUGCACAGAGGGAUGCCUACUGUAGAACUCCCAGUAUUCCCAUGGUCGACGGCCAUGGAGAACAGUCCUUACUUUAUUUUGCUCUAUAGCCCACACAUUCUGCAUGGGCAUGUUUGCUGGGAAUCAUUUCCAGAUUGUACUGAAGCGGUUUUUACUCCACAUCUCCAGGUACCUGCUGCAAUAAAUCACGGACUCCAGAAGACAUAGCACUUCAAGUCAUUGCUGAGGAACAGAAGACAGACACACCACCGAGCGCCCACACAGACCCAGCAGAAGCAGACACGCUAACUUUUGAAUGAGGCCAGAAGACAUUACAACACUCAUCCGAAAGGAUUUGCACACCAGACAUCAUUUCCUUUUUUUUAAAUAUUGCGAUCUGCUCAGUUCAAAAGUUUCAGUAUCUAUUUCUGACAUUGAAAUAUGAUGUGGCACAGCAGAAACGGAUAAACAUGAUUUCCUUUAAAAAAUAUCCCUUUCCCUAUUCUGAAAUUGAAAAUGUUUUAAGAUAAUGUGUCUUACAGAAUAAACAAUUACAGUGUACGUGUAAGGAUAUUUGAAUUGCCUUUUUUAAGUAGUUUUGACACAAUUGUAAACAAAACAUACCUUUACCGGAGGCAGUAAUGGUCAUGGUAGCCUAAAGGGAUAAUGCCCGCCAAGAUUAAAUUAUUGGCAAAGAGGUUUACUCCGCCAAGCCCAAUGUUUUUGUAUAACGGAACAUAAAGUAUUACUUUAAUAUUGCUUAAAAAGUAGCCUAUCUCAUGAAUAGCUUACCAAUGUUGUCAAUGAAAAGCAUGGCAUUUGACAUAGGCUACCACAACUGCUAUUCGACCACACUUGACACAGCAUUUUUUUCCCUUUCGCAACGCCUACAUAGCCUACCUCUUCCUGUGCUUGCUGCAUCCAGCGAUGAUCUGCACUCUCCGAUCAGAAGAAAAUCUUCUGAAAGAAACAUGUGUCACUGUAGUGGUUUUCAGUUUUUAUGGAUUUUAUUAUGCCUACGCAUAGGUUCAGGUCUUGGAAUACCUCAGAACACAGUUAUUGCAACGUUAAACAAACCAAUAGAAAUACAUGUGCCAAUGAAUCAGACUGCAUGCAAUGAUGUUGUGGAAUGGAACCGUAUGCAACCUUCUGCAUUAUGCCUAAAAUAUGAGCCACCGAACAGCAGCUCAGGUUUUGGGGCUUGCAAUGGCACAGCACAAUUUCACUGCCAAAACAACAGUCUUGUCUUAAACACGGUGAUCUAUGAACAUGAAGGAACGUAUAUGGAAAAGAUUAUUUCUCAAGAUGGUUCGGUUAAAAAGAUAUACAUUACCCUGAAGAUCAUAUCUCCUCCGCUGAUCACAAAUGUAAGCAUCAUUUCAACUCAUUCAACACUCAUAAUAAUGUGUGAGGUCCGUGGAAGAAAUGCUUCAACCAGGUGGCUGAAAGAUGGAGUAGCUUUGCAGAACAUGAACUUGACCUUGAUGGUUCAUGAACCAACUUGGAGGGACUGUGGGAACUACACUUGUCUGGCAACGAGUGAAGGGGGAAGUUCAGAAGCUCAUGUUAACAUUAACGGUGCAAUAUGUAAAAAAGACCCGGACAUUGGACAUGGAAAUGAAAUGUCCAUUACCAUUGGGAUUACGUCAGCUGUGAUUUGUGUGCUUGGUUUGUGCAUCAUUCCUGUCUGCAUCAAACAGUACUUUGCAGGUACCUGCUGCAAUAAAUCACGGACUCCAGAAGACAUAGGAGACACAGGACCAAACGAUGCUGCGAUGGAAGAGCGCCAUGUAUAUGAUGAACUCAACAAUGUACAGCCAAACUCGUCAGAGGCAGUCCAGCUGCCUUAUGUAUACACGGACUUCAUACCAGUAAAACUAUCCAGAAGCCACAGCGAGGAGGCACAAGUGGAGGAUGCCACUGGGUACUCCACCAUUGGGGACGUCCUGGAUCAGGCACAGACACUUCAGGUCCUGGAUCAGGCACGGACGCUUCAGGUCCUGGAUCAGGCACGGACACUUCAGGUUCUGGAUCAGGCACAGACACUUCAGGUCCUGGAUCAGAAACUUCAAAGCACGUGAUAUGUAUGACAGCUGAGUUUCACUGUGAUAGUAGUAUCAUGAACAACGACACAGCACAGGUCAUGCAUAAUAGCUGUUGUGCUGUAACAAACAAACAAACAAACAAACAGAAUUUUUUUUUUUUUUUUUUUAAGAUUUGUUUUUGGGCUUUUUAUGCCUUUAAUUGAUAGAUUAGUGAAGAGUGGGACAGGAAAUGAGAGGGAGAAGAGGUGGGGAGUGGACAGGAGAAAUGACAUCGGGCCGGAUUCGAACCCGUGUCCUCUAUGGGCGUCAAGCCCGAAUGUGGUCGGGGCUACUGUUUGCGCCACAGUGCCCCCCAAACAAACAGAAUUUUGACAUUUUUUAAACACUCAUCUUACAUGAUAAAAAGACAAUAGGUGUAUCAGACAAUAAACUAUUUAAGUAUAUGAUGGCA
ensembl:lncRNA